rnacentral:rRNA from 1 species
GAUGAACGCUGGCGGCGUGCCUAAUACAUGCAAGUCGAGCGAACAGACGAGGAGCUUGCUCCUCUGACGUUAGCGGCGGACGGGUGAGUAACACGUGGAUACCCUACCUAUAAGACUGGGAUAACUUCGGGAAACCGGAGCUAAUACCGGAUAAUAUAUUGAACCGCAUGGUUCAAUAGUGAAAGACGGUUUUGCUGUCACUUAUAGAUGGAUCCGCGCCGCAUUAGCUAGUUGGUAAGGUAACGGCUUACCAAGGCAACGAUGCGUAGCCGACCUGAGAGGGUGAUCGGCCACACUGGAACUGAGACACGGUCCAGACUCCUACGGGAGGCAGCAGUAGGGAAUCUUCCGCAAUGGGCGAAAGCCUGACGGAGCAACGCCGCGUGAGUGAUGAAGGUCUUCGGAUCGUAAAACUCUGUUAUUAGGGAAGAACAAAUGUGUAAGUAACUAUGCACGUCUUGACGGUACCUAAUCAGAAAGCCACGGCUAACUACGUG